UACGUAGGGUGCAAGCGUUAAUCGGAAUUACUGGGCGUAAAGCGUGCGCAGGCGGUGUUGUAAGUCCGAUGUGAAAGCCCCGGGCUCAACCUGGGAAUGGCGAUGGAUACUGGCUCGCUAGAGUGCGGUAGAGGAGAGUGGAAUUCCCGGUGUAGCAGUGAAAUGCGCAGAGAUCGGGAGGAACAUCAGUUGCGAAGGCGGCUCUCUGGACCAGCACUGACACUGAGGCACGAAAGCGUGGGGAGCAAACAGG
rnacentral:rRNA from 1 species